CAGUCAUGUUGCCAAGUUUCCUAUGCUCUGGAAAAGAACCAGGGAGCCCGUGAGCAAUUAUCCACAAAGCCCUUGUCUCAGCAGUAACCAGCUUGCCUGGUAUUGGACCUCCAACACAGAGGAGAAAAUGUCACCUUGGAAGCAGGAGCUGAUAGAAAGAGUCAGGAGGAAAAUGCACUUGGCUUACGUGAUGUGGGGUCAACAAAAGUCCACGGAGACCAGGAUGGAAUGGGUCACCAUGGAGAUCAGAGCACUGCCCAUUUUUGGGGAUGGAGGCUAACUGGUCAGUAGCCUGCCACGGGACAGGUAGAAAUGUCACACGGAUGGCUCUCAAGCCCAUAGAUUCUAAAGACGAGGGCAGCCUGCUGGAGUGACUCCUUCUUGUGCAACUCAACUACCCAUCUUGGAACCUGUUAAACCAGGUAAGAUGACAGUGGUCCUGGCAGGGACAACAGCUGUGGCAGGGCGAUGGUGUUGCUAAUUUAGUGGCCUGGACUCAGAACAUACACUUAUUGAUGCCCUAUGGUGUACCUACUAAGCCCGAGGCAAAGAAUGAGAGACCCUUUAAGAGCUGAACACACAGGCUUACUCCUGAGAAAGAGCCAAGAAAGAAAGAAAAAAUAAUCAGAAAAACAGACAUAGAAAAACCUUCCCAUAACCACUUGGGAAUCCUUGCUCCCUGGGGACCUAGUGCGCCUUCUUCCAAUGGAAAAUCAGAGAAGGGGAAAGAAGGGACAUCACAAGGUUUGAUUUUUGUACUAAGCAAAUGCUUUUUUUGGGUAGGGUCAGACGAAUGAAUAUUCUGGAUAAAUCACUAACCAAGGGAACCGACUAUACGGGAGAGGUUAUAUGGGGACCUCUGAGUAUCUGCAGUGAUGACCAGUGGAGCUGAGACUCCUACAGAGGUGUGCCAACUACACAUGGAGAUCCUAAAGCUUAGAACCAAGCAACGAGGCUGGAAGAGGGACCCUAGUUCCUCCUGGUGCCAUUCACACGCCAGAGAGGGAUCUGCAGGGGACACUGCAGCACCUGUCUAGGUCAAGGCUCUAGGAGUUGGCUUUCCCUGGCACCUAGGAUUGGUAGGCAGAGAACAAACAAAUUGCUAUCAGGUGCUUUCUCCCCAAUCUGGACUCCAAAUCAGCCCAAAAGCUGAUAACUUCUUUGAAAGACUCUACUAACACACACACACACACACACACACACACACACACACACACACACACACACACACACACGGUGUUUUGCCGUUAGAUACAAGCCCAGAUGAAUUUCUGUUUAAGAAGACGUUAGGGAAAAAAAAAAAAGUCCUAUCACAGCUUCCUCAAUAAAAUGUUACUUCUAUGUGGGCAAUACCUUAUUUUAAUUUGAAUAAUUACUGACAUAGGAGGUUUUGCUUCUCUUUGAACCUUGUUACUUUAUGUGGUGUCAGAGGAUGGAGGCCCAGGUGAGUAACCAAGGAGGAAGGACAUCCCCAUGCAACAGGUGACUUAUUGGUACAAAGAUCAAACAAAGCAGGGUAGCACAAGUCCAUCAUUCUCAGCACUCAGGAGGCUGGGGGUGGGAGCCUCUUGUGCUUCAGGGUCACUUGGGCUACACAGUGGGACUCUGUCUUAGAAAAAGGAAGACAGGACCAAGAUGAUUAGGAGAAAUGUCAGCCUGGCAUUUCUUUGGCAUUUGACAGUCCUAUAAAUCUGACUGUAGGGAUUCUUCAUUGUUCAACAUUCAUAUGGUGCUAGCAGGGCUUGUCUGUCUGUCUGUCUGUCUCUCUCCUCUCACACACACGCACGCACUCACACACAAUUACAUGUGCUCGAGCUCCCCUGCUGAGAUCUAACUCUGAUGUUAGGUUAAUGGCUGUCACCCACAGAUGAUAACAUAGCCACAGGGAAGUUCUCCUGGUAGAAGUUUCUAUGGUGGUCUAUCUGUUUUCCUCAAAGGUUUCCCCCAAAUCAAGUGGCUUCUUCAGUUUGACAUAGAGUUAUAAAGCCCCAGGGCACAAUGUCAGUUUUAUGGCUUGAACCUUUUUGAAAGGAAUAGUUUUCAACUUAAAAAUUCAUAAAUUCAUUUACACAGAGGCUUAUGUAUGUCUAUAUACAUGUAAAUAGAUACAAGUGAACAAGGUUUAGGAAAACUUAUAGAAAAGUUAAUACAAUAGUAACAUUACUAUAUUAUAGUAAUAUUUCCUCUCAAUAUUUUAUUUAUGUGUAUGAAUUGCAAAAUACACUGAUUAUAUUUUAUACUCUUUUUAUAUAAUUUAUAUUUAUAUGAUUUAUAGUUUGUAAUUUAUACUUUAUAUUUUAAAUUUUAUUCUCUUUUAAACAAAUUAUUCCAGGUUCAUUGGUCCACCCCUUUAAGACAGGAUCUUAUUCUGUAUCCAGGCUUCUCCAGAAUUCAUUGAGAUCCUCCAUUCUCAGCCUUCCAACUUACAGCCAUGAGUUACCACAGUCAGACCCCCAAGCCCUACUUUGCAGUGCAUUUUAAGAUAUAAUGUCUGAAUAUCAUACAAACAUACCGCUUCUACUCUCAGGGAUCUUCUUCUGUUUCUACGACUCUAACUAAUUUGUGAUGACAUUCUAGUUGACCAAUGACCGUGGGUCCUGUUUCCCUAAGAUCAAUGCAGGUUUGGAUGCCCAGGGGUCCAUUUUCUUCUUUUCGGUGGCUUCUGCCAGCCCUGUGACACUUAUGGUAUUGUUUCCCUAAACACUAAGGCAUUUACUUUACUGCUCAGCUUACUAGGGUUUCAAAUCAUUCAGCUCGGCUUCUAUUGGCUGUCUAUGAGAAUGCAAGGCCACAGCAGUGAACUUGUUACUGUGGUACUGAGAGAGCGCACAGCACACAAGCAAUUCCGGGCACCCGUACUGUGCAGUGAUGACAAUUUCAGACUCGAACCGGCUCCUCAUUUCCUCCUCCGUUUUGGUAAUUCUAAAUGGCUUUUUAACAGAGUAGAAUCCAUUGUUGUUUUUGUUUUGUUUCAACAUUCUAUCUGUCACCACUAUUGGUCUUGACCGGGGACCUGACAGUGAGUCCCAGGAGCCAGCAUCCUGGAUACUUUCUCUAGAAUGUUAACCAUGGUGAAAUUUUGAUAAGCCUUUCAAGGGCUGCGAAUGAUGAAGCUGUUCUUGGAGGCUCAACAUGAAAGAUAAGGGAGACAUUUAGCCUCCUGCCCAGACAUUAAGAAGUUAGUGAGAAGUGCUACUCAAAAUAACCAUUGCCAAGUCAGGGAGUGUGAGGUGAUUUUCGGAGGAUGGCUGUCCGUUCUCUUCAGCGUGUGUGCAGUGUUCCCUUCAGAUGCGAUCCACUUGAUGUGGGCAGCUCCGAGCACUGAGGGCGGCAGGUGUUGGGGGUGGGGGCGGUAAAAGAACAAGCCUAUUGCUGGCUCCGCUCCCCAUCAACUGUAAGAUCUGCAGUGUAUGCCGGAAGAUAGGGCAUGCAUUUACAAGCACAUCCAAAGCUUGCCUUAAGCAGAGCCGAAUGAAAAAAUGCACUGAGGGUUCAUUCAAGUCUCCUUUGUACAGGAGGCCCAUCUGUUUGUUUAAGCUAAGUUUGAAAUUGCCGCUGAAUGCCCAGACACACCAGGACCAUCAUCAGAAGGGGAGGUAUGGCAGGGUAAAGUCACAGAGCUUGAAACUAGAGCGGUCGUUGUUUGGUAUUAACACUCAUGUACUGUAAAAAUGUUACAGGCACAGUAGACUUGCAAAAACAAUCUGGAAAGGCGAAAUAUAUUAAAAAACUUCUGAAAGUUUUUGUUGCAGUAGGAACAUGAAUUUGUAGAUGAAAGUAAAUUUUAACGAGAAAAGUCCAGCACUCUCUUCUCAUGUGAGGAAGACUAAGCAGAGGGAAGAGUGUGUUGGGCAGAAGGCAGCUGUAAGUGAAGACGGUGGCGAAGGGCUCAUGGGUGGAACUUUCAGGACCACGGUUAAGAGAAGCUGCAGGAGCCUGCGCUUUAGUGGAAGAGGGGACAGACUUCUGUUGUAAUGCAAGCCUGAAACUGUGGUGAUGUGUGCCAUAGUCCUUGUCCCUUCUAGCACACCCCCACUCGUCCGUCCAUUUCUCCUCCUUCCCCUCCUCCCUUCUUUUUUACUUCCAAUCUCCUCUCCUCCUCUCCCCUCCCAUCCUCUCUUAUAUCCUCUCCCUUCCUCCCCUUCCCUUCAGUUUCCCUUUCUCCCCCUCCUCUCCUUUUGUCCCUUCUGCAACUGGACUGGAAUUGAACCAAAGGUUUGUGCAUGGAAGUCAAGCACAGCACCUCUGAGCUUAUACCCCCAUGUGUAACCACCUUCUCAGAUAACAGAGAACAAAAGGUUUACAAAGAAACAACUUACCGUGCUGGAAGGAGCAAGCUACAGAUUAGGAGAAGCCAAGAAAGAGGUGCUGAAUUUUAAGAACUUUUUUUAAAAAAGAACAUUAUUGUAAAGAUUGCCCCUAGCUAUCACUAGGGGCCGAUAUUAUCACGUCUGGUUCACUUUGCAAUGGCUUUGAAGGCGAGUAGGGGAAAGGACAGGGAAGAGGCGCAAACCAGAGUGCCAUUUGAGGCAGCCCUCCAGACUGUAUUCGAAAGGUGGAAAACCGAAGAUGUCUGAGGGAGAAAACUCAACUGGAAAAGCUGUAAGCCAUUACAUCUUAGAUUUACUGGAGCAUGAAAUGAAAUUUCAUGAUGUUCUAAAAACAACAACCUAACUGCUUAAAACUGAGUCAGCGAAUUGGCAUCCCGUCCAUACCAUACUUUUAUCUCAUUUUGAUAUAAUAGUGGAAACUGGUUCAUAAGGGCACAAUCCUCUUUUCCAAGUCGAGCACAGUUAAGCACUUUUUAAAAAUCACUUCUAGUCGUCCCUCCUCCUAGCAGAACCAUAUAUAAACACACCGGUUGAUCGAUGAUGUUCGGUGUCCUUUCCUCUUGACAGCCUGUCACAGAGUGAUUGAUUUAAAGAUCUCCACGGCCCCGCCCUCCCGCCGGCCUGUCUACAAUCCUCAUAGCCAAGUGUAAGGACCUGAACAAUACUACAGCUGUUGAGUUUCCAUGAGGGAUGUGAGUUUUCAGACAGAAACACUGGGGGAUCAUAGGCUUGAUUUUCAAAUGUCCCUUCUUCCCAUUUUACUCUUUGUCCCAAAGAGUAAGUUACCAACAAUUUCUGAUCCAGGGAACAAUGUAGUCAAGUUCCAAGCUUAGAGCAGCUUCCCAGUACUGUCACGCCAGCCUCUGGCCUCCGCUGCCCAGUUUCCUUUCUUAGACUAAGGAAUUAAUCUGUUACUUGUCACCUUGUAAAACAGAGUUCGUUUUUUUAUUGGAUAUUUUAUUUGUUUACAUUUCAAAUGUUCCCUUCUGGAAACCCCCUAUCUCAUCCUCUCUCCCCCUGCUUCUGUAAGGGUGCUCCCUGCACCCAACUACCCACUCUUGCCUCCCCACCCUGGCAUUCAGCCUUCACUGGACCAAGGGCCUCUCCUCCCAUUGAUGCCAACAAGGCCAUCCUCUGCUACAUAUGUGGCUGGAGCCAUGGGUCCCUCUAUGUGUGCUCCUUGCUUGGUGUUUAGCCCCUGAGAACUCUGGGGCAUCUGGUUGGUUGAUAUUGUUGUUCUUCUAUGCGUUGCAAACCCCUUCAGCUCCAUCGGUCCUUUAACUCCUCCAUUGGGGACCCUGUGCUCAGUCAAUGGUUGGCUGUGAGCAUCUGCCUCUGUAGAACAAUCUAUUACAUGUUCCCCUUUUAAAAAGAGUCCUUACACUACCACCCCUGUGUGUGUGUACAUGUGCCUAGAGGUCAGAGAACAAGUUCUAUCAGUUGGUUCUCUCUUUCUACCUGGGUGGUCAAAUCUCGGUUGUCAACCUUGGAGGCAAGUGUCUUUACCCAUCUUGGCAGCCCUCAGCCCUCAUAGUUUCUUUAUAGGACCAUAUAAAGUCAUUUGUUUUCUAGUAAGUGCCCUCUGUGGCCCUACCAUGUAAGAUGUGCACAGACUGGACUCUCAUGUCUUAGGGUUUUACCAUUGUGAAGAGACACCAUGACCAAGUCAACUCUUAUAAGGACAUUUAAUUGAGGCUAGAGCAUGGUAGAGUCCAGGCAGGCAUGGUAUUGGAGGAGCUGAGAGUUCUACAUCUUGUUACAAGGCAAACAGUAGAAGACUGGCUUCUAGGCAGCUAGGAUGAAGGUCUUAAAGACCACACCCACACUGACACAUCUACUCCAAUAAGUCCACACUUCCAAAUAGUGCCAUUGCCUGGGGCCAAGCAUAAUCAAACCAGAAGGUCAGGAAAAUCUCAGUAUGUGUGUGUUGUUCUUUAGCAAUGAGCACAGACGAUGUCAUGAACAUAAACAGCUGUAGGAAUAAGCAUGUCCUCCCUGCAAACUUCUAUAUGACUUCAACCCAAAAGGAUCAAAUACCAUACAGCUUAACUCAGUCCUCACAACUUGGAUCUUACACAGGACAAUAAAACAUACUAGUAACUUCUUUGGCUAAUUAGAGGGGAAUGACAUCUUUUUGGUUCUUCUCUGAGUAGAUUUAAUCUCUCCCUCCUUUUUUCAACAUUUACAGAAAUGCCUGGCGCAUAAGAAAAUUCUACACAGCCCCACCCCUGCUGCAGAGUCCAAUGUAGCAGGAUGGGAGGGCUGUGGACACCAUGGGUGGGGAGCUAGAGCCUACGAAAGAAUUAUUCCUGCUCUUAAAAGUUUGCUGGCCCUGGUCAGAGGCAGCAGAGGGUCAUGUGAACUGCAACCCAUGUUGUGUCAAGCGCACACAGGAUGGGUUUCAGAGGCCACAAUCAGGGGCAGCAUUUUAAGUCACAUGUUAAAGGUUUUUUUUUUUUUUUUUUUUUGACUACUAGGACAGACUGUUCAGAACAGCCCUGGAGAUGAGCCCCAAGCGUUCACUUUUGGCCAGGAGAACAUCUUGAAGGUGUUUAGACCACCAUGCGUCUGUAUUCCUUGAGGUGCUUCAAUCCCAGUUCCCAUAUGUUUGUGGUGGUUGCAACAUCUUUAUAUCCCUUGGAGUGUUUAAGAGGGGCUUAGGUUUCAGUUCCAUAUAACACCGUUAGUUUAUCUCCUGGCUGGAGAGAUACAUGGAUAACGACUUUGUCCUAAUGGAAAAUAAAUACAGACGAGGUCGGCUGAACUUCACGCUUGUAAUUUCCAGCAGCAGAUGAUAAAUAAGCCAUUUCCAUAACUGUCAGGUUAAAACCAGAUGACAUCUGAGCUUGGUCUGUACACACAGAGAUGAACAUGGAGAUAAGAGGAAUUGCUAGAAUUUUAAGGGAAAUAUAUGGCACUCACUGUUAGUGUGGGAUGUUUGCAAUUGCUAUUCACGGCAUACCAACUCAAUGGUCUUCAUGAGUAAUAAAGGCCUUUGCAAAGCAUUUGGAAAGUAAUAAUUCUUGUUAGCACCACAGCAAGCCCCAGCUACAACUUAAGUUGAUUUUUACUAGUGGGUAAUCAUAUUUCUUUCUAGUAGACUGUGUAUUUUCACAUAUAAUGUAAAACAAAUGUUACUGAAUGUCAACUCACUUUAAUUGAACAGUGAACACAUUGCUGAGUAUUUAUCUAUGUGACUAGAAUGAUUAGCCUACCGAAAAGAAUUUUAAGUUUGUUCAUCAAUCAUUGGUUAGUCCUACUCGAGUCACACACUCAAAGGAACCUUGAGACACCAGCAGCCAUUCGCAGCAACUAGACAGAAAGGGGCCUCCAUUUUUGCCUCGCUAUUUGCUAUUUUAGAAAAAUAAACAGUUUUGCUUGGACUGUUGACUUUCUUACAUUCCACUCCUCCGUGCAUUCAAAAGCUGUAUAACAGCCAAAGCCACUGACAUGACAGAAACCAAUGGCUUCACUGUUGUCAAGGCUGAGCUUUUGCAAGCACCUUAUUAAAGUGGCCACUUGAGUAAUCCCAACCAUUAAAACCUCUGCCCUGUGAAAAAAGAGACUAAUACGUCAAGACGUCAGAGGACAGCAUUGUGCCAGCACCGUUGUGCUUUCUAGAAACACUGACUUCUUACAGAUAUCGCAGAGGAAAAUGUCCUACUUCUCAGCUAAGUGCCAUCCCUACGUGGAUCUUCAUCUCCUCACUCUGUACUCUGUGUGGAGGGUGAGUGACGGGGAAGGCCACCCAGAGGUGUUAGAAGUUACCCUGGCCUGAGUGUGAGACCUGCCUCUACCACCUGCCAGUUCAGUGACUGAGGUGGGCCAUGGGUUCUCUCCAGGCUGACAGUUCCCAUAUCUAUAAAAUGAAUGAAAUUACAGAAUCUGCUGCAUAAGGGUGACCACUAAAUAAAAUACACAGCAUAGGGAUUGACAAUGUAUCAACAAGUCCCCAACAAGGGUAAAACUACAAAUGGGGUUGUUUGUAUCUAACCAGAAACAGGAAAUAACAGCUACUUUGUCUAACAGGUUACAAAGGAAGUUUUCUCAUGCACAAUAUGACCACAAGACUUUUGUCAAAACAAUCCUGCACAAAAGCCCUUGCAACUUCAUACAAAACACUCCCCGGAGGACAGUUGCUUGGGAUCUGUCUGUUAGCCUUAAACGAGCAUCACCCUUGUUGAUCCUGUGGCCAAGGACUGUUAUUUCAAAGUAUCUUCUGUAAUCCUCCUCAUUGGGGCUUACAAACCUUCCCUUACCCUCCCCUCUUUGAAAAUGUUCACCAUUUACCGUGUCAUAUACAUUCCCACAAGCAAUGCUCUGGAGUCUCAAAUAUCAAUACUCUAGCAAUACUCGUUGGAGAGCCUCUGUGUUAUUUAGAUUGACAGUAUAAGAACAGCUGUGUUACUGUGCUCUGCUUCAAAGUGUUCCCUUAGGACACCAGUAUUCUGUCGUCACGCCAGAAAAAAAAAUGCUAACUUUUGCAAUUAAGACAAAAAAGAAUUCAAGUUCUAGUUUAAUCGAAACUGAGGGUGUAAUACUGACUCCAUGGAAUUACUCAUUGAUAUCAAAUCUUCCCUAAGAAGGAAGAUCUGCCAGUCCAGUGACAAUAAUCACAUUCUGUACUAUAUUUGCAAACAUUCGUGGGGCUUUCUCUGGCCACGUCUCCAUUAGCUUUAUAAAAGUCUCACAGAAGGUUGUGCUUAUAGAUGCCACACAUCCUAUAAUUGAUCCUAUUUUUUUUUAAUUUUGUGAGAAAUACAUCUUUAAAGUUUCACACACAUGCACACAUAUAUGUACACACACACACACACACACAUAUAUAUAUAUGUAUAUAUAUAUAUGUAUAUAUAUAUAUAUAUAUAUCUCCCUGGUCCCAUUUGAGCAACACUCUUUUUCUGUAUGUUAUCUUCUUAAAAUUGUUUUAAUUUUAUUUAUGUGUGUGCAUGUCUGCUUGCACACGCACGUGUGUGUGUGUGUGUGUGUGUGUGUGUGUGUGUGUGCACGUAAAAGGCAGAGAUCAACUUUCAAGAGUUAGCUUUCUCUUUCCCCUGUGGGCAUCUUGUUAAACUUCUAUUUUAUUUUGUCUUGCGUCUGGCCUGCUUGCUUUCAAAAAAGUUUUGUAAGAUUCUCCACUGCCAUCACUGUUAGCUGGGUACUUAAGGGAAAAGACAGUGUGUUGACAGACACAAAAGGGACAUUGGGUCCCUAUGCACACCAGAAAACGCAGUAUUUAUUCCUUGGCUCCGUUUCCUGAUUUAUGUGGUUUGAGAAAACCAAUUCAUACCUGGCUUCUUUGGGGAUGGCAUGCUACUUAAAAAAUUAAAAAUCCAGAAUAUCAUUUGAGACUAACUGGGAAUUUUGGUCGACAGUCCCAAAGAUGCCCAAAAAUUGGUAUUAGAAAGAUCAGGUCCAUUCAAAGACUUUGCUUUCUCUGUCGGUCUGCCUAUUUUUACCUGAAUGCUCAUUCUUUAGUGGGUGAAGCCAGCUCUAUUUUGUACACCUCUUCUAAUCAGAAGUAGGCAUACUGGCUAUACUAUCAUUCUCUAACCUUGAGUAUAACCGCUUCCCCACAGAUACGGCUGUGCAAGACCUGUUUCUCCUGUGACAGGAGGGCUUCACUGACCAUGAAAGGAAAAGCUUGCUGCUUGCCUGGUCCCAGCUUGUGGAAUCCAUAUCACAGCAUGAAGGCUGACCUUUGAACUCACCUUUCCCUGGGGAGCCUAAACCUCUAUCUUACUGCCUUCCACCCAGUUAAAACAUGGGCCCAGUCACUGCCCUGGCUCUGGUUUCUUAAGAUCCCGAGGGUCCUGAAUCUUUUAGAAAGAAUGAACAGAGUGGAGAAGAGUCAGGAGGACAUGUGCAGGUACUCACGUUCCAACUCCCCUCAGCACGCCAUCUUUCUCUGCUAUCUCUUGAUUUCCCAGCAUUGUUGUAGAAUUAGUUAUUUCAUCACAUAGAAACUUGGAAUAACGACAUACUCUCUAGAGGGUACGGUGGUGGUGGCGGUUAACGUCUAUCUAAAGAAAAGUUCCUGGCUUUUAUUUUGGUCGCUUAGUUUUGAAGGGAUUUUGAAAAUAUACUUUAUGGAAAGAUACCAGUGAGGUCUAACUUCACUCCUGAAUCGCACUGGUGUUUCCUUCUCAGCAAGGAGCCUCAUCAGUCACUGGGAGCAGUAAAUAGGCAGACGUCAUUCCAGCAUUCCUGCAGGAUUGGGCUAUGGAAUGCAAGCGCAAGUCGGACUGUCCACACCUACCAGGCCUAAUAAAUCAGCGCCCUCUGGAUGUCACAGCAAGGAGACUUUAUUGGGUGCCACCUGUAAUCACUCAAUUAAAAACAAAUAAAGGAUGCAUGCUUACAUCUCGGCCCCUCGCACUGAAAACAGCUGCGCUGUUCACAUCUGGCUUGGCUACACUAUGAUCCUGGUAUUUUAAUUGUAGAAGGUGAGCCUGUUUGCUGCCAUAGAAUUAAGGCAUUUUUGUCCUCCAAUUAAGGGCAGCUAUGCACUAAUGGAAAAGGUCUACGUGCUCCCUCAUAUAAAGAGACCAUCCAAUGUGUCUGCGCAGUUGCCCCAAAUGGUCAAGCUUUUGGAUUUUAUGCUUGGUCCUUACGGUUGCCGUUCACAGCAAGAUAAUGUUAAUAUUACUAGAGAUUAGAGACACACAGAACUUUAGUAUUUCAGGGCUUGAAACUUACAUACAUUUUAUAUACUAUAAACUAUAUACUAAGCAGGAAGUUCUGUGUGUAUACUUGCUUGUGUGUGUGUGCUGAUGCACACGCAUCUCACAGAGGGUUUUUAAAGGAUCACUGACAAGAACUUGGCAGUCACAUGGGUGGAAUGGAAAGAAAAGCUGUGGAAAGCAAGGUUAGGAACCUCUAGAGAGCGAGUCUGGCAACAUGACAAACCUCAAGUCGAACCCAGGAUGGUCUCUGAAUGCCUGAGAUCUUCGCUGGUCUUCUGGUCAAUACUGCCUACCAUGCAGGGACUUAGAGGGGUUAGGGAACGGUCAGAAAAGUAGGUGCUUUAGCAGUGUUAAAAUGACCCAAAGCCUUCUCCUCUUGCCCUCAUGCCACUGUCACUUGAUGACUCAAUCAUUGCUCCUGAAGCCGAGACACUUUCCCCACCUUUAACAUUCUAUGUGCUUAUGAUAAUAAUAGGUGGAAAGGUUUUUAAGAAUCAUUGGAAACCUCAUCACACAAAUAUAAGACGAACAGUGUAAGCAUUUUGAGGUAUUUCAACUUUAUCACCGUCUUGUGCCUACACAGUCUCUCAAAUAUAAUGGCACCGUCCUGUGAGUACCAAGUACUGUCCUUCCUUCAUGCCACACGGUACACAUCACAUACCCACUCGUGUCAUUACAUGCUUCUGAAAGCAUGCUCUACUGGUUUAUGUGUGUGACGUCCUUCACACUGGAGCAUCACAACUUAUUUGUUUAUUUAUUUGUGUGUGUGUGUGUACGUGUGCGUGUGCAUGCAGCUGGAGUUAUGGGUUCUCUGAGUGGGCUCUGAGAAUGCAAUUAAAAUGCUUAAGAAGAGCAGGAUGUAUUCUUAACUACUGAGCCAUUUCUCUGGCUCCCAACGUCUUAUUGUUAGAUCGUUAGAUCUGGUUUUGCCCUGCAACUGAAAACUAUAAUAAGAACAUUACAUUAGCUUCUAUGAAACUGGCAUCCAUCUAUGUAUGUAUGUAUGUAUGUAUGUAUGUAUCUAUCUAUCUAUCUAUCUACCUACCUACCUACCUAUCUUAUUUGAAUGGCUUAUGACAUACAGGUAUUCUUUCAUCAAGAAGUUGAGGAAAUGAAGAUAUUAAAGAUUUGUGCUAUAAACAUAUCACAAGAACACAAUCUGAUAAGAUUUCACAGCUCUUAUCAUCAUCAACCACCAGGGCCACAGUCAAGAUCCAGAAUUUGUCCAUCAGUUGACCAGCUAUGGACAUUUUGAAGGCUCAUGUCAUACAACAUUAAUUUACAUUAAAUUACUUUUAGCCAGGAAUGCUAUCUCAUGCCUGUAAUUCUAGCACUUGGGAGGUGGAGACAGGAGGACCAGGAAUUCAACACUUCUUUGGCUACAUACUGAGUCUGAGGCCAGCUGGAACUGCAUAAGAGCCCAUCUCAAAAACUCCAAACUAACAAUGAGAGCAAUAAGUUAUUAAUUAAGCAGCAUAUUAAUAACAUAUCCAUACUCUUUCCCCCCCCCCAGGUUAUAUAGUGGGCUACUAAGGUGGCAUUUCCUUGCCCUCUUCCCUUCAGGGGCUUCUGUACUGCUUAACAGUUGCUCAUAUAAUAAUAAUAAUAAUAAUAAUAAUCGAAAAUGUACUCAUUCUUAAUAUGAAUAUCUGCUAUGACUUGUUCUCUAAACAGCCUGUGCUAAUAGGAAAAGGUAGAAACUUUAAGUAGGAAAGUGUAUAGCAGUUCUGAAUCUGUGGGUCACAGCCCCUUCCAGGGUGGCAUAUCAGCUAUCCUGCGUACCAGAUAUUUAAUAAUUAUUCGAAACAGUAGUAAAAUUACACUUAUGAAGCAGCAAGAAUAAUGACUUUAUGGCUGGGGGUCAUCACGCCAUGAAGAACUAUAUCAAAGGGCUGCAGCAUCAGGAAGGCUGAGAGCCACUGGCUUGGAGGGAGGUCUUCGUGGGUGUUCAGGAGACCUUGGGAGUCUGUUCUUCUCUUUUGUUUCCUUGCUACGAGGUGACCUACUUUGACCUGCAGGUGCUCUCGCCAUGAUGUGCUGACACUUCCAAUCUGAUAUCUGAUCACGGGCUAAAUAAAGCCUUGAGCCCAAACAAACCUUUCUACUUGUCAGUAGUUGACCAUCUCAGGUAACUUUAAUAGUAAAAAAGAAGCUAACUCAAGAAUAUUAUUACUGAGGUUUGAUUUAUUUUUCAGUCUCUUAUUGAGUACUUGAAUAACUCACAAGAUCAUGUAUUGAUAAUUACAAUAUGAACACAGUGCCAUAUAUAACUGCUACUUACACAUAUUUAAACAUGCUUAAAGUUUGAGCUAAAUAAAUCUGUGAUGGCUCUCUGUGAUGGCUUGAUUAGGUUUGGCCCCAUUGACUCACUUGUUUGAAUGCCUGGCCCUUGGGGAAUGGCACUAUUAGGAGGUGUGGCCUUAUUGAAGGAAGUGUGUCACUGUGGGCGUGGGCUGUGAAGUCUCUAUGCUCAUGCUCCACCCAGUGUGUAAUUCCAGUCCCCUCCUGCAGAAGACAAUCUUCUCCUGGCUGCCUUUGGAUCAAGAUGUAGAGCUCUCAGCUCCUCCAGCACCAUGUCUGCCUGCCUGGACUUUGCCAAGCUUUCCACCAUGAUGAUAAUAGACUGAGCCUCUGAACCUGUAAGCCAGCCCCAAUUAAAUGUUGUCCUUUUUAA